rnacentral:lncRNA from 1 species
ACUCUUUGAAUGCAGCCAUCGUGGAUGGAGCAGGCUCCCAGUCUGUGAAGCAGGCCUGUGAACAGGAACCAAGGUCCCAGCUGACAGUCCCCACCACCUGCUCAGCUCCCCGCCAGCACCCACUUGCUAGCCACAUGAGUGAACCUAAUGGAAAUUGGGUUCCCCAGGUGAUGUCACGUGGAACUAAGGUAAGCUGCCCCCAUCAGGUCCUGCCUGAACUGAAGAUUUGUGGACAAAAAGAUGAUUAUUUGUUUUAGCCAUUAAGUUUUGUGGCACUCUGUCUCAGCCACAGAGGACCCCCCCCCACACACACACACACACCAUGCAGCACCCUCCCUCCCUCCCUUGGCCACUCUGCCCUCUCUGUGUUCCCCGAACACUCACAGAUGCUCAUGUCUCGAGGUCUGUGCACUGGCUGUCCCCAACUAGAGUACAUAGACACCCAUGGCCGCCUCACUCAGGCCCUGUAGGCCGUUAAUCACUGGUUAUCUUUUCAGUAAGGCCUUCCCGCCUAAACUGGCAAAACCACAUGAGCUCCCUCUUCCCCCUUUCCACUUUACUUUCCCCAGAGCAGUCCUCGCUGUCUCUCACACUGCAUGAUUUACUCACUUGGACUGUUCAUGGUGUGUUAGGGCCACAGAAGGUAAGCCCCGCAGUGACAGGCAUUUGGUCUGCUUCAUUUCCUGCCAGGCCCUUUGUGCCUAGAACAACAUCUCCCGCAUGGUGCCACCUCAACUGAUAUUUGUGGUUCUGUUUUAGAAAUACAGUGACCUUAGGAGACUGCUCCGUCUCGAAUCACCCUUGCCCCCACCCUCUGCGCCACUGGGUCUCCGUCUUUCUCUUGCUGUCCGCCUUCCUACUGGGCUAGCGCAGCAUCAACUCUCAGAUGAUCAGAGACCUUGGCAAGUUGUUCCCUAUGCUGGAAAGACUUCCUCCUUCCCGCUGGCAGGAAAUGCCUUUAUAUCGUAUCCUGUGCUCACUCCAUACCAGGGGUUAUUCUGGAACUCAGAGCUCCAAGCUUUGUGUUUGCGAGCAAAAUGUUGUAAAAUUUCAUCAACGAACAAGAGCAGAGUGAACAAGGUGCUUUGGUUAUCUAUUGCAGCGUAAAAAGCACCCCAAAUUUUUGAAGGUGUAAUAUGACAGUCGUGUACUAUUGUGCUCACGAAUCUGCACUUGAAGCAGGGCUCCAUGGGGACACUCUUCCUGUGCAGUAUGUGGCAUCAGCUGGGGCAAAGCAAGUAGAGGCUGGGCAUUUGUUUUCAAGUUUGUGUUUUUAGAAUUUAGAGAACCCUCCUCUGUCUCAGCACAUUUGGCUUUAAAACUGUAUCAGACUUCAUUCUCAAGAACAUUCCAAUUUGAAGGUCACUUACUCUGCCUAGAUGGCAUUGUCUCAUCUCUGCGAAGCCCAGAUGCCAUUGACCAAUGAGUGUAUGACAAUUGAAAAAUGCAUCAAUUUAACUGCUCAAACCACUUAACCUUAUUGCAUUUUCUCUUCAUUAAUUUAUUUAAUAUUUAGAUUAUGAAAAUGGGAGUUUUAUGUUGCAUAUCUAUUUUUAGAAUACUUUCUGACAUAUAUGUGCUUUAGCAAAUGUUUGACAAAUUAACAAUAUUAAUAGUAGAUAAUAUUUAUAAUGGCUAGAUGUAUUGUUAAUUUUUGAUAGGCCCUAUUUUUAUACUUUAUAUAACUAUCUUUGUUUUAGAAAUCUUUAUUAUUCCUGUUUUGCAGGUGAGUAAACUGAGGCACAAUAAGUUCCUCUAUGAAGCUAGGUCUAGUGGCCACGCCUAUAAUCCCAACAAUUUAGGAGGCUGAGACAAGAGGAUCGCAAGCUCAAGGGCAAACCUCAGAAAUUUAGCGAGGAUCUCAGCAACUUGGGGAGACCCUGGUUUAAAAUAAAAAGAGCUGGUGAUGUGGCUCAAUAGUAAAGUACCCCUGGGCUAAGUCCCCAGUAAGCACCCCCCACACACAUACAUACACACAGGGAAAGAAAAGAUCAUCUGUGAAAAGUCAGAGCUGGGAUUCAGUUGGCCAGGACUUGGUGCCCCCUCUCUCAAUCAUCACUUAGGCACCGAAUGAUUUAGAGAUGACACCGGAGAAGCACCAUAACCCAACUAGAGGGAUGAAGGACGGCUUCCAAAGAAGGUGAUUUCUAAGCUGAGUCAUAAAGGACAGAUGGGAAUAUCUGAUGAAGAAGCUGAGGAAGGAAUUCUUGGCAGAUUCACAAGAUCGCCUGCUGACUUAACAGGCAUUCUGCUAAGACCAGGCAAUCCAAAGAGAAAUAAGACAUGAUCCUUGACUUAGAGUCAGGAAAGUCAAGCAAAUCAUUAAAACAAAACAUCUAGAGCUAACAUGAAUGUACAAAGGUGCUGCAGAAAGAUAGAGGAAGCAGCAAUCAAGCCAAGGUCAAUAGCUCAGUGAGGGCUUCCCAGAGGAGGUAGCAUUUGAGCUAAAUGCACAAGUCAAACGAGGAUUGGGAGGGCACUUGGGAAGAUGGAAUAACGUAUUCAGUGGAAGAAUAAAAAAGCUUCUUGAGACUAAGGAAACCUCAAAUAUGCUGGGAGAAUCAUCAUGUUUUUCUUUCUUUAGUAUUUCCAGUAAAUGUGUCCGCUACCUUGUAUCGCAUUGCCUCAUCCCCUUUGUGAGUUGAAGGUUGUGCUUGACAUUGAAACUUUGUGUAUCUUUCAGCAAUUCAGACAACCACACACAGAGACAGUUCUCUAUCCAAGGUACACACAGACUCAUUCUUGUCAUUUGCCUGGUAUCCCUUCAUCCAGGUGGGGAUUGUGAAUCUGACUCUCCUUCCUUCUCACACUGGAGGCUUUCAGCUCCCUCUCUUAGCACAGGGAAGAAUCGCAUAUUGAAAGCCCUUCUGGGCAUGGAACAGAGAAGGCAGGGGAUACCCAUGAACCUAAGUAUUUCCCUGCCUUCCAGAGGCUAUGCACCACUGUUCUGUAGGGCCUGCUUUGUGAGCCUCAAAUCACAGCACAGCUGCCCUUUCCACAUUCUCCAGUGCCCCUGUAUGACCCAGGAGUUAAGGAUCUGUUCUGAAGUCACACAGACAAAUUAUGUGACAUGGGCACAUGUCUCAUUUUUUAAGCCUUCAUGUCCUCAUCUGUGAAUUGUGAUGUUAUUAAUAUUAUGCAGCAUUUUUGAGGAUUAAGAAUUAAUGCAUUUGUAGAAGUUCAAGUCAACAUUGGAAAUAGGUCAUAGCAAACGUUACACAAAAAUGCGAUUUAAGGAUAAAAUGGAAUUUGUUAAUUUGGAUGAUGAAAAAAUCCAAGGAGUAUUCCAAAUAGCUUGAUCCAAGGGCUCACAUGCAGCUACCAGGAUGUGAUCUUCCUUUAUCUCCUUGUUUUCUGGGUCUUUUUAAGGAUCCACAUUCUGGCAAAAAAAGGAAGACAAAAAGCCAGAUCCCAUUCUCCCAUGUUCCAGCCCAAUAUUCAAAUGAAAAUCCUGGGCCUGGUAUUUACUAGUUGAAGAUGCCCAUCCCAAACUUAUGUCUAUGACCAGGGAAUGGAAUAUGCUAAUUGGGUUGAGCCUGUGUUGUGAGCCCCCCUUUGAAGAUAAGGAGGUGUGUCAAUGUCACCCAAAUAUCAAGUUCUAAGAGUGGAAGAGAGGAACUCCCUAGAAUAAAAUUUGAAUGUGCUAUUGUUAUGGUUUGGAUGUGAGGUGUCCCCCAAAAGUUCAUGUGUGAGACAGUGCAAGAAGGUUCAAAGGAGAAAGGAUUGUGUUGUGAGAGCCUUAACACAAUCAGUGAAUUAAUCCCCUGAUAGGGAUUAAGUGAGUGCUAAGUGAAGGCUGGUGGGUGUGGCUGGAGGAGGUGGUUCGUUGUGGGCGUGGCUAUGGGGUGUAUAUUUGUAUCUGGAGAGUGGAGUCUUUCUCUGCUUCCUGAUCACCAUGUGAGCUGCUCCCCUCUGUCACACUCUUCUGCCAUAAUGUUCUGUCUCACCUUGAGCCCCGAGGAAUGGAGCCAGCCUUCCAUGGAUGAACAACUCUGAAACCAUGAGCCUUCAAAUAGACUUUUCUUCAGCUAUCAUUGUUCUGGUUGGGUCCUUAAGUCAUGGCAGUGAAAAGGCUAACUAAAACAACAAUUUUAACAGGAAAAAAGGUGGAAAAAAUGUAGUGGCCUAAAAUACUAUGUCCAGAGCAGUAUGUGAAGCACCUGUCACCAUGGGUGUAACAUGGCAAGUGUUCCAUGAAUGAUGUCCAUCAUCAUCGUCACUGUGGCCAUUAUCACAGUAUUAAGUUUCAGCUGUGAAUAUCUCAAACACGCUUCUUACAGAAGAGCCUGCCCAGUACUCAACUGAAAGAAAAUAUUACCAAGGGCAGAGAUUUCUCAUUUAUAGCCGCCAAAAUCCUCCUGAGCACUCUUUGGACAUUUUGAUAUUUUCCUCAUUCUAUUUGAUAGCCCUAACUACCCCAAACAAAAUCCCCCCAAAAUUUACCCACCCCCCAAUCACGACCAUUCAAUUUCUUUCAUUCCUCUUACCUAUGAGAGUCUUUGAUUUGGAAGAGAGUUAAAGAAACAAGAGAGGCAUGGAGCAUCUUUUUUCGUGAAGCCAUACAGUUCUUUGGAAAGUGUGAGACAUCACUCUGAUCUCUGGGUGGCUUUACACAUUGCUUCAGAUCUACCAGCCCAGAAAAGAUUCCCCUACCUCUUCCAAAGAUCCUAUAAGGGCUUAACAACUCCUUAACAAAUCCUAUCUUACAUAAAGCAAGUACAAUGAUAGAUAUGUCUACAAAUACAAUGACACACUGUCCCCCAAAUCCCAUAGCAUCCACUGUACAAGCUUGCAUUAUAGUUCCCUCCGCUUAUUUCUUAUCUUCUUACAGACUGUCCCCUAUGCUGUCAGCAGAGUGCCUUGUAAAAAAGUAAACAAACACCAUCAAUCCCACGCAUGACUGAAUAAACUCAUGACUUGGCUUAACAAUCAAUUGAGGAAAUAUUACAAGUUUAAAAUGUGAAAGGAUUAGAAAGUUAUCUCGCUCAUUCUAUGUGCUGGAAAAAUGAAAGGCUAAAGACCCAGGAAAGUCAAUUCAGCUUGAAACUUACCCUGUGUUUCUAGUUGAUAUUGUUUGCAUCAAAACUAUCACAAAAAUUAUGGGCAUAACAUCGUCACAACAAAUUUGUAGGAUGAUAUGAAUCAUUUUUGAGUUUUUAGAAUUUUAUUUUGUUUGCUGUGAUUCGGAACAAUUGACAUAACUUUGGACAUCCGUUUUUCUUUUCCUUGAGACUUUGAACUCCAUGAUGUUCAUUGCAAUGAGCUUCAGUCAGUGACAUAAAACAAGAACAUAGUCCAUAUUUAUCUUCUAGUGGCUACACACCACUGCUGGCUUAGGUUAAGAUACAGAAUUAAGGGCUUGGAUCCUGGGAGCAGAUUGCAUGAAUUUGAAUUCUGACCCUGGAACAUUCCAGCUAUGUAAUUAUACACAAGUUAUUCUCUUUAUGCAUCAAUUUUCCACCCGAUAAUUGGAUAGAAUGAUAGUAUUCACCUCAUAAUGUUGCUGCGAGAAUGAAAAAUGAUAAUAGUCAUAAAACAUUUUUAAACAUUGUAUGUUAGCACAUUAUAAUCCUACAUGAAUUUUAUUUUUUAAAGAAAAGAUAUUAACUUGCAAUUAACUCAGCUCUUAUGUCAUCCGUAUGUGGCUGCUGGUCCAGUCUCUCUCAAUCUAAAAUUGUGCCAUCAAUUUUUUUUUUUCCCAGACUACAUAUAGGACUUUGCAUUUAACCUUGUCAAGUUUCUCUCUGGUGAUGCUGGCUCAGCACCACUUUCAUUUCCCUUCACUCUCUGCACCCCACCCACCCGUCCUGUCCCGUAGGUGUGAACAAGAGAGGUGGAAAAGAGAAGAGAAAGAAGUCCCCUGCACCCAGUCUUCCUCCAUCGAGAUUCACCUGCAUCUUAACAUUGGCACCCAACCAAAUUUAAGUGGCUCUCAUUACUUUUAAAUAGAGCAUACAGUUAAAAUUUGACAAGCACAUAAACUUCAUAGCUGAUCUGCAGGCAAAAUGACUACCAAACUGAUUUUUAACUGCCAGAAAUAAGCUCAGGAGGUUGUUGUCCAAAGUACCCAGUAAAAUGAAGUAAGGGUCCGAACAAUGGGGGCAGUCGUGAAGAUUAAACUGCUGUGAGUGUCCACAGGUGGAAUUAAGUGUCUGUCCUGUUAAUGGACACAGACACAAUUCAGGGAAACAAGCCAUCCAAAUACAUCACUUGAAUCCUGUUUGGCUGUUCUGACGUAGAAGAGAAGAAAAAAAAGAAUCAGUUGGGGCAAUGUAAGAUACGGAACUACAGAAAUAAACGUGCUGUCCCUGACAUCUGUGUUUACAAAUGCGUUAUGUUAAGCAGCAGAGAUUUUCCCUGUGGCUAGCCAAUACCAAGAUGGCGUCUUGCAUUUUUUAACUUUUCCUUUAGCCCCCAUCCUAAGGGCUGUCCUUACUAUCUCUUUGCUUUCAGCUUUUACUUUCUCCAUAAAGGAGUUGACAGAGACAGAGCUGGACAAUGUCAGAAACGUGGCUCGGGGACCAACCUGCUCCCUUCCUUGGCUACUGAAAGUGAGUCUGUGCUGACUCCUGUUUAAUGAAGUCGGCCCUCCCAGCCCCCAAGGUGUAGACACCUUCCCUCUCCAGAACCCGAGAGCGGGUUUGAAUCAAAGAAAUGACACAUGCAGUGGCCAGAUGUUUGGAGAGUAAGAAAGGGAGCUAAGUUCACACAAUUGUUCUGCCUUCUCUCUUUCCGCUGAGGUUCUUUCCUGUGGGCUGCAGGACCCAUUAACAGACAGCCCAGCUCUGAGCUUGUUCACGGGCAGCCCGAGCCUGCACUUGGGUGAGAGAGGGCUAACAGGCGGCCUUCCUUUUCCUGUGCAGCUGGUGUUUGCAGGAGAACAUGAUUUGGAAGUUGAUUUAUUUACCCUUUCUUUUUUUUUUUAAUGAAUGGAUGAUGUCUGUUUUUUGAAACAAUUAAUGAACUCUAGUGAUAUGACUAGAACUUAAUAGAAAACCAUCCUUGGGCUACAGGUGGAAAUGUAAGGACUUUGACUUUUGGAAUGUUCAUGAUGCAAUUGUCUCACUCAGAGGAGAGUCAGAAGAUGUUUUCAGUCUUUAAAAAGAAGUCGAUCAAUUCUUGUUUAUUACUCUAUAGCCUUUGAUUCAUGAAUGAAGAAAAUCACUUUCUCUUGUGGAAUCGGGUGGGCUGCCGUGCACAUCCCUUCAUUUUGUCUCUGCUGUCUGUGGAGACUUUGAGGAUGUUCAUAGGGCACUUCAGCUGCAGAGAGGAAGAGAAUGUUCCAGAAAGGACCUCCUCCUAUGCUAACUCCUCCUCCCAAAUCCUUUCAAAACUCCUGGAAAUUUGAAACCUAAGAAACAGAGUCAACUAAAGUAAAUGGGGGCAGGUCAGAGAAGAUGUACUUCCGGGUCCUUCUCUAAAAUGUUUACUUUUUUUUUUUGGAGUAAUAAUAUGAAAACACACACCAAUUUAGAAAACUUGAAGCAGUAUUCAAAGAAAAAUAAUUCUUUCUCCCAUCCCCACCCACUAUCAGCCACCAGGUUCCUAUAAAAGAGGCCACUGGUAUCACAUUUCUGGAGUAUUCUUUGGGAGUCAUCCCAUGUAAAUAUAAACAUUGGUACAUGUGUAUGCUUCUUAGAUACACAAAUGACAAUAACGUACAACACACAUUGUUCUGCACUUUGCUUUUUUCACUGAACAAUGUGUCAAAGGUCUUUUUUCUGCCCACAGAGCUAUCAGGAGACAAAAGCUGUUCUUCAGUUCAAUGAUCUGCAUCUGGUCCUGGCUUAUAGCACUGACAACGAAAAAGGUGCCAAGUCAAACUCUGCCUCAGUCCCAGGUACUCCCAGCCCAGAGAAAUAGAGUCAUAUUCAGAACUUCAGCACUUUCAAUAACAAGAAGCAUGGAGUGGAUACAGGGGAAGGGAAGGGACCAUGUUGGAUAGAAUGUCCUAGGAAACCGACAGUUGAGCAGGACACACUUUGUGGUCCUGCAGAACAAAAAUCCAUGAGUUCCUUUCACUGCUUUAGUAAGUAAAACUCAAACUUAUUACCCACCAUAGCAUCAUUUUUGGUAGUUAAGGAUCUCUAGGAGACAGAUGCCACCAUAUUCUGAACUCAAUAUGAGGGAGGUGGAAGAGAACAGGCUUUGGAAUUAGGCAGACUGGAUGUCAAUACUGGCUAAAGAAGUUAUUAAUUCAAGCAAGCUCUCAGAGUUUGGUUUUUCUUUAUGUAAAAUAGAGACACAUACCUUCAAGAGGUUUUGUGACAAAUGGUUUAAGAAAAGCAGGCCAUGUAGGCGUUGCUACAACUCUACUAAUGCUGCAUAGUAAACGAUCCUCAGUUCUCUGUGACUUGAACCAUGAACCUUUGACACACUUCUGUGUCUGUGCAAUGUGAUUUGGUGGCACUCAGCUGAUCUGUCCUGAACUUUGAGUCAGGUUCGGGUCUGCUCCAGGGGUCUUGACUUGAGGUCAAAGGGCAGCAAUUACCUGGGGACAUACUUUUCUCAUGGCACAAGGCAGACCUCAGGAGUGCUGGCAGGAACUUCCCAUGCCUCUAUAGCCUAGCUCAUAACUAGCACACUGUUACUUCCGCCCACAGUCUAGUUAACCAAACAACGCGUGGCCAGGCCAAAGUCGAGGGGGCAGGAGGCUUACACUGUCCAUAGUGGACCUCAGCAAAGACAAGUAGGGAAGGAAGACUCAUUAACAAUACAUACAGACGCCCAGUCCAGCUCCAACACCUAGAAGGCUCCCAUAAAUGUGAGCUAUUGUCAUUGUAGUAUCCAACAGGAAAGGUAGGAGAUGGCAGUGAAUUUAUGAGAAUUCUAAAAUGGAAAGUAAUGAUUUCUAAAGGCAUUUUUUAAAAGUCAGUCCAUUUAUCAUUUGUUCUUCCCCUAAUCAGAGUUGACAUAUAUAGCCUCUGUAAAAUUUUUAAAAAAGGAGUUCCCUCUAAGCAGAUGUACCCCAGGCCCAACAGCAUGGCAAGUUACGGAACAGCAAGGUCCCAAGGUCCCCCUUCCAUGAAGCAAGUACAGCUCUGCAAAGAGCCCGUGCUUGCAGGCUUGGAGAGCUGGAGGAGAACAACCCCUUGGCCAGGCACAUUGUACAGUGCACAACCCGAACACCCUAUGCCUCAGCUUUGCGCCUCAAAGUGGAAGGUGGCCUGGGAAUCCCAUCGUGUACUGGGCUCUGGCUCAGUGGCACCAUCACUAUUCACAACCUCCUUGGAGUUUUGGUUCACGGCUUUUGUUCUGCUUUCCAAGUUAUGGACUAGAAAAUUGGAACUUUGGGAUCACAAGGACACCUCUUUCUCAGAAAUCCUGCAGCUUCUCACAUCUCAUGUCUGAAUCCAGGCCCAGGUGACCUAGUGGCUCCCAGGCAGCUACAGGGCCUGGAAGCUGGGAUCACAGAGGAAGGUACAGACUUAUACAACUUAAUUUCCUUCAUCCUGAUUGACAGGAUAAGGACAGAAGGAAGAGGGGGAAAUUCUAAAGAAGCUUUAUAAGGCAGUGACAUUAUAAGCUUGUGGAUAGAUAAGCCGCUUGUAGGGAGUAGGGUGCAAAGCAGCAAACUGUGGAGAGAGAUACAGAGAGGGCCCCCAUGCUUGCGGGCUUGGAGAUGGGGUGGGAGUGGGAGACCCCUAAGUCUACACACAACAACCACCAUGAGAAGAGGGGUGGAAUUCAGUCCUGAGUUGCUUAUUUGGAAGGUUAGUUAGUAAGCAGCUAGGAGAUAGUAAGCCCAUGGAGAAAAAUAUGAACUCUUCCUCAGGAGUUAUUUGGACACUUUGCAUAGAGAAGAGAGGGAGAGGAGGUGGCAGGGGAGGGCGGAAGAAGAGUAGGGGAUAGGAAAGCACAGAAGAAGAGGAGAGACAGGGCAAGAACUGGGUUUGCUUUGCUCCCCUGGGUCAAGCACAAGGUCAGGCCUGGAGAGAGUGUCCAUUCAUGGGACAGUGUGUUGAGUGGGAGAGACGAGGUCCGAGAAAUUGCAACGCCAAUGUCCACGAUCCCACUAAAAGCAUCUCCCAGCAACCAGGUGGGCCCUCUCAAUUCCCACCACAGGGUUCCAUAUCUUAUUUUCAAGACCACUACAGUCUCCUUCUGGCAUAGCUUGUUAGUUCCGUCCAGACUUCCUCGAUCAUCUUUCUAGAUUUGGGUUUUCUUUCUCCCCUAUUCUCCUCUGCAGGCACAGUGAAGGGAGCAUCCUUGCCCACUUGCCCUCUCUCUUUGGUUUUCCUGUUUCCCUGCCUGUAAGAGUCUGUUAGACACUUCCUGUGAGGUUUAUUUGCAGUCUGACCUGUGAGUCUUUGAAAUACUCACUCUCUCGAGGUCUCUCACUCCAGUGACACCCAGAGGCCUCCCUUAGCAAGGCAUGGGUAAUAACAGCUUGUCUGCAGAUAAUAGUUGCCAGGUUCUUUUCACCCGGGCUGUCUACGUGGAAAUUUCUGGAAAAAAGCAGAAGUUCCCGGUGUGAACUGUCCUUGGAUACUGUCCAGAAACAAAACUUUUGUCCUCCUCUGAUUCUGUCAAAUAUGGUUGGGUACAGUCAGGUCUUAAAGGCUUGCGCCAGGACACUCACACUUAGGGGUACAUCUCGCCACUCAGGAACUCAGCCUCCAUCCCAGACAUUUCCAGGUCCAUUCAGGACCCAGCUGCUGGUGCGGAGAUUCAACAUUCUGGGGAUGGCGUGUUUAUUUCGAAACAAUCAUGAGGCUUGAUUUGAUGUAGUGAAAGAAAUUAGUGCUUGCUGAAUACGGCCCAAUUAUUACUGCAUUAAUUCAUCCAGAUUAGCAGCUGACAUUGGCUGGGAGGCACACGUCAGGACAUUUCAAUACAUUUGGCUGAAAAGAACUGCUUCUCGGAGGCUGUGGAACCUCCCCACUGCCACUUCAAAGCCAGAUGAUGACUCCAUAUUUGGAAUGACUUUCACAUCAAGGGUAUAGGGCUUUAUUUUAAUGCUAGCUGGAAAUGGACAAGCCAAAGCAUGGUUGGAAGAUGCCCCCAAAGUUAGACAUCAACCUGGCACCCUUUGAGAGCUGAUUUUUCCCCCCAAGUCCAUGUUCUGACCAGAAAAUGACUUUUCAAAGAUGGAAGAAACUAGAGCACACUCCUAAGGAAAGAUAGCCACACAUCUUCUUGAGGACAGUGUGGACAUCAGGCUCCUGGUGUGAAGCUCCACCUUGUGAAGCCAUUAAGUGUGCUCUCUGCUACAAGUAACAGUGGCUUAAAUGAAUAAAGGAUUAUGUUCUCACUGUUGUCAGCUGAAUUGGGUCCUACAGAGUUCAUAUGUUAAAACCCCAAAAUCCACCACCCCAGAAUGUGACUAUCUGGAGACAGGGCCUUUACAGAGAUUAGAUUAAAAUGAAUCAGGGCCUUGGGUAGGCCCUUCUGUUACUCGGGAUUCUCCAGAAAAACAGAACCAAUAAGAUAUACGCGCACACACACACAGACGAUGGAGAAUUGGCUCACAUAAUUAUGGAGCCCCGGAAGUUCCAAGACCCAAGAUCCAGAGGUGAGUUGGCAGGCUGGAGACCCAGGAGAGCUGAUGGUGUGAGUUUUACCUGAAAGAAAGCAGGCUUGAGGCCCAGGAAGAGCUGGUAUUCCUGUGAGAGUCUAAAGGCUGGAACAAAGCUGGUGUCUGAAGGCCAUCAGGCAGGAAGAAGUCUCCCUUACUCAGAAGAGAGUGAACUUUUUGUUCUCUUCAGGACUUUUACUGAUUGGGUGAGGCCCAGCCACAUGAGGAAGACAAAUCCGCUUUAUUCCAUCUACUGAUUUGAAUGUUAAUGUCACCCAGAAACAUGGUUAUGGUUUAGACAAUGAGGUGUCUAUAAGGUCCUUCUUAGCAUCUGGGCAGCCAUCUUAAAUGAUAGCCGCCAUUUUCCCACCCAAGGGCCUUUCCAGGGAAGGCUCACCACUCCCUCAUACCGACCCAACCCUUCAACAUCCGAAUUCUUUCCUACCACUUCUUCUUACCAAUCCACCCUUAAACCAGCUUUAGGAUCCAUGUAGCUCUGAUCCUUGAGCCUGCCCAUAAAAGCCCCAAAAUCCAAGCCUGUCCUGCCUCUCUCCAUUUAUGGAGAGAUGUGCUAUGAUUUGUCAGCUCUGGCAAAAGAACUCUCUUGUGUCUCUCUGCCUGAUCUCUGUCUUUCAUUUCUCUUUCAGCCAUCUCCUGCUUCCUUGAUUUCCUUUCAGUGUCCUCCCCACCCCAAAAGCUCAUGUAUGAGACAAUUCAAGAAAGUUUGCAGGAGAAAUGAUUGGGUUAUGAGAACCUUAACCCAAUCAGUGAAUUAGUCCCCUGAUGGGAUUAACUUGGUGGUGACUGAGGCAGGUGGGGUGUAGCUGGAGGUCCCUGGGGCUUGCCUUUGUGCUAUAUAUUUUGCAUCGGGCAAGUGGAGCCACUCUCUCUGCUUCUGAUCAUCAUGUGAGCUGCUUCCCUCCACCACACUCUGACUAGCAUUUUUAUAAUAAGGGAAAAUUUCGAUACAAAAAGACACAGGAGGGUGGUAUAUGCACAGAGGAAAGAUCAUGUGAGAACACAGGGAGAAGGUGGCCAUCUAUAAGCCUAGCAGAGAAGCCUAGGAGGAAACCAAACCUAAUGACAGCUUGAUCUUGGACUUCCAGCCUCCAGAGCUAUAAGAAAGCAAAGCUCUGUUGUUUAAACACCCAGUCUGUGUGCUUUUGUCAUGGUAACCCCAGCAAAUUAGUACCCUAACACAGCAAGAAGUCACAGCUGUUAUGCUGUUCCCAAAGUCCAGUGGUAUCUCUCUUUGGAAUUCUUUGGGGCUCUUAUGCAUUGACACCAAGAUCACAUGAUGGCUCAGCAUUCCAGACAGGAAGAAGGGGCAGGAGGGUGAGGGAGAAGGCUCUCUCCUGGUAAACCUUCAGGACAAAAAGACCAAUCCAGAGCACACCUCUCUGAUCAUAUUGGCCAAAACUGUGUCCCAUGGUUCUAAGACCUGUAAGAGAAGCUAAAAAUAAAAUUGGAAACUUCUCAGACUUGAGGGUGAAAGAAGGCAAUGGGGAGAGUGUUGGGACGGAUGUUGAGUGAGCCAUCCUUCAUGGUGUGUAAUGACUUGGUUACCAAAGAACUUCAUGCCAGGGAUGUUUGCACAGGUGGACACUGGAUAAAGCUUUUGUGUUUGAAAUGGUUGUUUGGGGUUAGCUCUCCUUGUUAGGCAUGUUUUGAGUCCCUCCUUAGAUUCUCUGGGCACCAUUUUUUUUAUAUACUUCCUCCAUCUCCUUCAGGGGACCAAACAGCUACACUGAGGCCUGGGCAGUUUUCUCAUGUGAGGCUCACAGGUGCUUGACCCUCUCCUUAGGGGCCUCCAUGUGCUGAGACUGGUGAGUCUCAUGGCCUUCUGUUUAUAGUGGCUUUUGUCUUUCCUGGUCUUGGAUAAAACACUUCACCUCACGUAGCACAUUCUGGUUUCUCAAGCAGCUCCCAGCAAGGCCCCAUAGAUGCCACCUAGAAGUGAGAAGAAUUGUCUAUGGAGCAAAUGCCACAGAUCCUCCAAAGACUCUAGAGGAGGUCCAGCCUUUUCCAGCUUCCAGUGGCUCUGGGCUGCAUCCCUCCAAUCCUGGCCUUCCUGGGCACAUCGACUCACCCUCUUCUGUCUCUUGGAUCUCCUUCAUGUGUCUCUUGUAAGGAGAAUUGACAUUGGAUUUAAGGUCCACCUGGAUAAUCCAGAUCUCUUUAUCUCAAAAUCCUUAAUUAUAUCUGAAAAACCUCCUUCCCCACCCCCCCACCCCCCCACCCCCGCAAAUAAAGUCCCAUUCACAGCUUCCAGAAGGUGAGAGGUAGACAUACUUUGGGGGAGGCCACUAUAGACACCCCUGCUGAUCCAUGAAUAGCAUCACAAGGCUCGUCAUGGCAGGUGGUGAAGCUGUGGCCAACAGAGUAGCACACCCUCUUCGCAUGGCUCUCUGUUAUCACAUUUCCUUUUCUCUCUGUCCAGAGGAUACACUUCUCAAAUGAAGCAUCCCUACUCAAUCCUGGCCUCAGGGCCUGGUUUCCAGAAGAUGAAGGCUAAAGUGAUCCUUAAAUAAUAAUUUUACAGAUCAUAGUUAUCUUGGGCCACUCAGGCUGUUCUAACAAAAUACCAUAGACUGGGUACCCUCUGAACAACAAAAAUUAUUUCUCAUAGUUCUGUGGGAUAGAAAGUCCAAGAUUAAAGCAUUGGAAGAUUUGGUUUCAGGUGAGGGUCCAUUCUCUGGCUUCUUCAAGAUGAGUUUUCACAUGGUGGAAGGAGCUUGAUAACUCUCUAGGGUCUUUUUUAUAAGGACACUAAUUCCAAAGAAGCAGGCUCUACUCAUGUGACAUAAUCACCUCCCAAUGACCUCACUUCCAACUACCAUCUCCUUGGUGGUUAGGAUUUCAUCGUAUGAAUUUUGGGGAGAGGAGACUUAAGCAUUCAGAUCCUACCAACAGUGUAUCCAGAGCCCAAGUUUUAGUAUUAGACCUGAAUUCAAGUCCAGACCCUGCCAAUUACUAGCUUUGUGUCCUCAGACAGGUCAUUCAUUUAUAGUCUCUAAACCCAUUUUUUUACCUUCAAAUAAAUGUGAUAAUAAUUUUCAGUUAUAGGGAUGUGACAGAGAGUAAGUGAAAUUAUGUGCAUAAAAACACCUGGCAUGUAAUAGGUACCAAGUACACAUCAGCUAUUGUGAUUAUUGAUACACAAACGGAUGUUAGCAAACAUUCCCUCCCCAUAUACAGUACACUAACCCUGCUAUGGUUGUGGGGAAAUGUGGAUGAAGUCCACAGUACAUGCUGUCCUCACUCCCACAUAGCCAGCAAGAGGCCAGCAUCCCUUUAUAGCUCCCAUCAUGUGCCUUUGAAGAAGAACAUGUCUCUGUCAGCGUUCACUGAAAGAACCAAGCUUUCUAGAUCUUACGUGACUUGUCUCCGACUCACUAAUCCAUCUUACUUCCUAUCCUUCCUUCCAGGGGUCCUAAGCCCCUCCUUUGCUGGUCUGUUACCAGUACCGAAUGGACCGCACUUCCUGCUGUACUUGAACGCUCUCCCACCUCUCAUUCUUUCAUUCAUGCACCAGAGCACUUUCAAAAUGCUAAGUGCCUUGCAGCAUUGUCCCAUCCAAUGGAACAGAAUGGUGGCAAAGCAGGCAGUCUCUGCCUCUCUAUAUUUAUAAAUUGGAAGAGAGGAAAAUACGUUAUUCUAGUGAAAUAUGCUCAGGCUUCUGAAAGGGACACUACUGGGAGAUAUAGAAAGCAACAGCAGAGAAAUCAAAACUAUGCUCUGCUGACCCAAAUCUCACCCUGCUGCAAGGCCCGUCACCAAACAGCACUGCCCAAACCCACCAGACAAACUGUCCUCCGGGUACUUUACCAAGUCAUAUUGAAGGGCACUUGCCUUGCGCUAGACUUUGAGCUAAAUACUUUAUGUUUCCAAUGUGUGGUUGAACUUUUACCCCAAUCUCAUUAAGCAAAUGAUCACCACUCGGUAGACAAAGAAAGUGAAACUUAAAGACUCACGUGAAUAGACCUUGGUCUCAAUGCUAAAAUCCUUCCCCAAAUCCUCUUCCCACAGACUGUCCCUGUCUGCCCACUUCCUGGGAUCUUUCAAUGUCCCUUCAUCCAAGAAGCCUCCCUGGACUGCUCACUCUUAAGGAGGCCACUCUGAGUCACUCUUACCCAUCCCUGGUUUCUUCAUAGCCCUUAUUGUGCUUUGAAAUUAUUUGUUAAUUGUUUUUGCAUGCUUAUUGUUUAUCUCCAUUAGAAUGUCUGCGUCCUAUGAGGAUAAGAAAGGUCACCUUCUCUAAGCUGGUCACGUGUGUCCUUUGCACUUAGAUAUCCAGUACUUAGUAGGCCUUCGUUUAAUGCCUGUUGAAUAAAUUAAUGACUAUAACCAAGGUCAUACGCUAGUCAGUGCCAGAGUUGAGCUUUCAACCUAGAUGUCUUUCUUUGAAGUCCAGGAUUUCAUUCCUUUUAUAGACUUCCUACUAUUCAUCUUGCUUUAGAGUUUAUUUACUUUUCUGCCUCUGCUUCGUGGCUCUGAGGGCAAUAGAAACUACGUCACAGGCGUCUUUGUAUCUCUUGGGCUCCUGUAGGGACACUGUCUUGUUCCCCAGAUACCUCGCCCAUAUUUGCCGAGAUAAAUUGAGUUUGUUUCCAUGACAACGACGGAGGAGGAAGAAGGGCUCUGCGGCCCUGGAUGAUUUUCCUCUCCUCUCCUUAGAGAUUAGCAUGACAGAUUGUGGAUGAGUCCUCCUCAGAGCUCCCAGCAGGCAGGUCAUCAGGCCUGCCCCAGGCCCAACGGGUCAUCUACAGCCUUGGGAGGGAGGUGUUACCCUGACGCUGAGUCAGCUGGGCUCUGUAAAGAGUGGCCACCGCUUCCAGCCUGAGUGACGCACAUCCCAUGGGUGGAGAUGGGAGCCCAGUCUCCAUUGGAGGAUUGAGGUCCAAGCCCUCAAGUUUAAGAAGAUGGCAGUCUUUAUGGCACAGAAACUCACUCAGACCUUUACCUGGCAGGAUUCUCCUCCACUAAGGAGGAAGGCAGAGCUCUGCCGUGGGAGGACCUCCAUCCUCUCCCACAGAAAUGGACAUAGCUCAGCAGAGAUGCUCCUGAUUCGUGGCAGCCCUCACCCUCACCCUGGCUCCUGACUUUUCACAUUUUUCUCAAGCUAAAAACUCAAUGGGAUUGUACAGAGCUCCUUGUCCAGUUCCUUCAUCUGUGCCUGUGGAGAGAUGCAGCCGUGCAGUGUUUCUUGGAAGCUUGCAAAAAAAUUCACACCAUUGUCACCAGAAAACUGAAAGGAAUAAAGAAGUCAAAGUCAUCUCUGGUGCCCAGUACCAGGUAGACAACCUUGAAGGCCAAGGCCCUCUCUGGAGCCAAGAGAAGGGAACGUGUGGGCAUCAGGAAGUUCAGAGAGCUCCUGUCUCCUCCAGGGGACCAGUCACAGCCAUGACAGCUGUCUCUCCUUCCCCACACUGUCGCUUUGGGCGGCACUUAGACAAGGCAGUCUACUUUCCAGAACUGACAAAGAAGGCAGCUACCUAUAGGGUAUGAUUUGACAGCAGCUAAAUAUGACUUCUGUCCUUCAAGACACCCCGUUGCCUCAGUUUUCUUCAUUAGCCGAAUUCCCUUGGGUCUCACAGAAUUGACACUUAAGAAAACACUCCUGAAAUGCAAACUCUCCUAAAAAGGCUGAUAAUGCACAAGAAGGGAGUUGGCAAACUUGUGCCGUAAAGGGUCAGACAGUCGAUAUUUGUGCUAUGUGGACAGUACCGUCUCUGUUGCAACUAGUCCCCUCUAGAAUGUAGAGCAAAGCAGCCGUGGACAGGUGGGGAUGGAUGGGCAUGUCUAUAUUUUGGAUAAACUUUAUUUACAAACCCAGACAGGAGGCUAGAUUUGGCCCAAGAACCAACAUUUGCUAAACCAGCACAAGACUGUAAGUCGGUGACCUUUUCUUACCAUCUCUUUAUCCCCAGGCCUUUCCUGUGAGGUGCAAGAGGUGCGGAGAUGGUCUUUGUUGAAGGGCUUGUCAACUAACAACAGUUCAAGAGAAGCUUCUGGACCAUUGAUCUUUCCAAAAAAGAGAUGAGAUGAAGAGCAGAGUGCAUUCAGCGACACUGGACUGAGGAGGCGAGACUCCAAAAAUCACAUUUGCUGCCUUGAUACUUCUAAUCGAAGAGAUCCUAUUGGUUAUGCUCAUAAAUCCCCCAAUCCAAUAACUUGCUAAGUCACUGUGUCCCCCUAUUUUGAUAAUGAUCAGCAAGGAACCUAGAGCAUGGUCACUCUCCAGCAUUGGCACUUUUGUUAUAUCCCUGCACUCCAGAAAGAUAUUUGCUCUUGUUGUUUCAUAGAAGGAACCAGAAUCCCACUAUUCUGACUCAGAUCAGGAUGCUCUAGGGUAAGGGGUUAGCUGUUCUCCCAAAGCCAGCUCUGCAAUACCAUGUCUUACUUACCAUCUUUCUUCCCUUAAGGCAAUGUACCCCUGUGACAAUCACAGAACCUAAGACGCCUGUUGGUGUCUUUGGUGGAAGUGAUGAUGGUGAAUCUCAUCAUUGAUUUUAGGAGAUGAUAGACACUACUAUCUUAACUUCAACUGUUUUCUGGACAAUCAUCUUGGCUUAGUAGAGGUUGGAGCACAAAG